CCCCCUGUAGUACAAUGGAUCAGUGCAUCUGGCUGUUAACCAGAAGGUUGGUGGUUCAAGCCCACCCAGGGACG